rnacentral:rRNA from 1 species
UACGAAGGGGGCUAGCGUUGCUCGGAAUCACUGGGCGUAAAGGGUGCGUAGGCGGGUUUUUAAGUCAGGGGUGAAAUCCUGGAGCUCAACUCCAGAACUGCCUUCGAUACUGGAGAGCUUGAGUCCGGGAGAGGUGAGUGGAACUGCGAGUGUAGAGGUGAAAUUCGUAGAUAUUCGCAAGAACACCAGUGGCGAAGGCGGCUCACUGGCCCGGUACUGACGCUGAGGUGCGAAAGCGUGGGGAGCAAACAGG